rnacentral:rRNA from 1 species
UGGGGAAUUUUGGACAAUGGGCGCAAGCCUGAUCCAGCCAUGCCGCGUGCGGGAAGAAGGCCUUCGGGUUGUAAACCGCUUUUGUCAGGGAAGAAAUCUUCUGAACUAAUACUUCGGGAGGAUGACGGUACCUGAAGAAUAAGCACCGGCUAACUACGUGCCAGCAGCCGCGGUAAUACGUAGGGUGCAAGCGUUAAUCGGAAUUACUGGGCGUAAAGCGUGCGCAGGCGGUUGUGCAAGACAGGUGUGAAAUCCCCGGGCUUAACCUGGGAACUGCACUUGUGACUGCACAGCUGGAGUGCGGCAGAGGGGGAUGGAAUUCCGCGUGUAGCAGUGAAAUGCGUAGAUAUGCGGAGGAACACCGAUGGCGAAGGCAAUCCCCGUGGGCCUGCACUGACGCUC